rnacentral:misc_RNA from 1 species
AAAGUCGUAACAAGGUUUCCGUAGGUGAACCUGCGGAAGGAUCAUUAACACGUAUCCAUACGUAUUAUAUACCAAACCGUGAACUCGUUUGUAACAAUUGAAGGUGUGAAAGUGAAGAGAUGCUUCGGCAUUGAUUCAUUUUAGCAUCUGUAUCUUAUUACAAUCUAUAAACCACUUGUAACCAAUCGAACUAAACCUAAGAAUGUGAUUGCUUGUCAAUUACAAUCUGUAUUUACGAAACGUAAAAACAAUUCUUAGCAACGGAUAUCUUGGUUCUC